rnacentral:rRNA from 1 species
CCUACGGGUGGCAGCAGUGGGGAAUAUUGGGCAAUGGGCGCAAGCCUGACCCAGCAACGCCGCGUGAAGGCAGAAGGCUUUCGGGUUGUACACUUCUUUUAAGAGGGAAGAGCAGAAGACGGUACCUCUUGAAUAAGCCACGGCUAAAUACGUGCCAGCAGCCGCGGUACUACGUAGGUGGCAAGAGUUGUCCGGAUUUACUGGGUGUAAAGGGCGUGUAGCCGGGCUGACAAGUCAGAUGUGAAAUUCCGGGGCUCAACCCCGGACCUGCAUUUGAAACUGUUGGGCUUGAGUAUCGGAGAGGCAGGCGGAAGUCCUAGUGUAGCGGUGAAAUGCGUAGAUAUUAGGAGGAACACCAGUGGCGAAGGCGGCCUGCUGGACGACAACUGACGGUGAGGCGCGAAAGCGUGGGGAGCAAACAGGAUUAGAUACCCGUGUAGUC